rnacentral:lncRNA from 10 species
AAUUUAAGGAUCUCUGCAUGCAUGUCUCUUCCUCUCUUCUUUCAAGACUGUUGCAAAUGGUUGAUCAAAUUUAUAUUGAGGUCAUUAAAGGAUGAAGACUCAAUCCUUCUCCUUUAAGGAUAUACAAAGGAAGAUGUAUUUGUUUCACUGGAUGAGUUGGGGUAAAAUAUCUGGCACUAAUUCACCACAUGAAAAGAUGCUAUUACAAAGGAGUUAAAUUUUUUUUUUACCAUUUAGAUGACUUUGAUAGCCUAGAAUACCACACUGGAGUUACAAGCUUUCCGUUUAUUCUGUUUUAUUGACUCAUUGAUAGGAAUGUGAUGCAGGAAAGAGCGAGGGGUAGGAAGUGAAGGAAAUCAUAUCAGAAUUUAUAAGAACUGGUAGGAACCUAGCUCUAGAUGAGGGUCAUGUUUCUCAAUUUUUGCCCUGGUCCUGCGUUUGGCUCUGUAGCAUUGGACAAAUCUGUGUUCCAAGCUCCAGUCUUCUCAUCCGUAAAGUGGACCCAUACCCCCACUUCUGUCUAUCUCUGGCAUUACGUGGCAGUGUUCAAAUAAGAAUGGAGGCAUUAAAAAUGCUUUGGAACCAAUAAAAGCAGUUAUUAUUGGGGAGAGAUGUGACUUUAGUGAAAGAAGCAAUGAAGAAUGACACAAGUACUUAUUAAAUUAUUAAUGGAAAGUAGUAGUAUAUAGAUGAUUUUUAAAACUACUGUGGUAUAGUACUGUAAGAAAUGUACACACCAGUUACUAGAUAAUUCACAAAGGUCUGAUAAUAUCCCGAGAACCACUGUCUUAGAAGUGUAAUGAAAUAGCGUAUAUAUAUGCCUGCUCUAAAAUCCCACUGAUUUGAAGUUUUCUGGAUGGAUCCCACAUGGACAUGUUAUCCUAUCAUCCUCUAAUUUUCAUGACUUAAAAUGAAUGAUAAAAAUGCCUGCUUUUUUCCCCAUAUACAUGCAG